GAUGAACGCUGGCGGCGUGCCUAAUACAUGCAAGUCGAGCGAACGGACGAGAAGCUUGCUUCUCUGAUGUUAGCGGCGGACGGGUGAGUAACACGUGGAUAACCUACCUAUAAGACUGGGAUAACUUCGGGAAACCGGAGCUAAUACCGGAUAAUAUUUUGAACCGCAUGGUUCAAAAGUGAAGGACGGUCUUGCUGUCACUUAUAGAUGGAUCCGCGCUGCAUUAGCUAGUUGGUAAGGUAACGGCUUACCAAGGCAACGAUGCAUAGCCGACCUGAGAGGGUGAUCGGCCACACUGGAACUGAGACACGGUCCAGACUCCUACGGGAGGCAGCAGUAGGGAAUCUUCCGCAAUGGGCGAAAGCCUGACGGAGCAACGCCGCGUGAGUGAUGAAGGUCUUCGGAUCGUAAAACUCUGUUAUUAGGGAAGAACAUAUGUGUAAGUAACUGUGCACAUCUUGACGGUACCUAAUCAGAAAGCCACGGCUAACUACGUG
rnacentral:rRNA from 1 species